rnacentral:rRNA from 1 species
GAUGAACGCUGGCGGCGUGCCUAAUACAUGCAAGUAGAACGCUGAAGGAGGAGCUUGCUCUUCUGGAUGAGUUGCGAACGGGUGAGUAACGCGUAGGUAACCUGCCUGGUAGCGGGGGAUAACUAUUGGAAACGAUAGCUAAUACCGCAUGACAACAGUUAUUGCAUGAUAACUGUUUAAAAGGGGCAACUGCUCCACUACCAGAUGGACCUGCGUUGUAUUAGCUAGUUGGUGAGGUAACGGCACACCAAGGCGACGAUACAUAGCCGACCUGAGAGGGUGAUCGGCCACACUGGAACUGAGACACGGCCCAGACUCCUACGGGAGGCAGCAGUAGGGAAUCUUCGGCAAUGGACGGAAGUCUGACCGAGCAACGCCGCGUGAGUGAAGAAGGUUUUCGGAUCGUAAAGCUCUGUUGUAAGAGAAGAACGAGUGUGAGAGUGGAAAGUUCACACUGUGACGGUAUCUUACCAGAAAGGGACGGCUAACUACGUG